UACGGAGGGUGCAAGCGUUAUCCGGAUUUACUGGGUUUAAAGGGUGCGUAGGCGGGCCUUUAAGUCAGUGGUGAAAUCUUCGGGCCUAACCCGGAAACUGCCAUUGAUACUAUUGGUCUUGAAUUCAGUUGAGGUGGGCGGAAUGUGUCGUGUAGCGGUGAAAUGCUUAGAUAUGACACAGAACACCGAUUGCGAAGGCAGCUCGCUAAACUGACAUUGACGCUGAGGCACGAAAGCGUGGGGAUCAAACAGG
rnacentral:rRNA from 1 species